GUGCCAGCAGCCGCGGUAAUACCGGUGGCUCGAGUGGUGGCCGCUAUUAUUGGGUCUAAAGGGUCCGUAGCCGCCUGAUAAGUACCUGGGAAAUCCGGUUGGCCUAACCAUCGGGCGGCCAGGUAAUACUAUCAGGCUCGGGACUAGGAGAGACCAGAGGUACUCAUGAGGUANGAGUGAAAUCCUGUAAUCUUAUGAGGACCACCAGUGGUGAAGACGUCUGGUUAGAAUAGGUCCGACGGUGAGGGGCGAAGGCUGGGGGCGCAAACCAGAUUAGAUACCCGGGUAGUCCCAGCAGUAAACGAUGCCAGCUAUGUGUUGCUGGAACCAUGGGUUCCAGCAGUGCCGAAGGGAAGCCGUGAAGCUGGCCACCUGGGAAGUACGGUCGCAAGGCUGAAACUUAAAGGAAUUGGCGGGGGAGUACCACAACCGGUGGAGCCUGCGGUUUAAUUGGAUACAACGCCGGGAAUCUUACCGGAGGGGACAGCAGUAUGAAGGCCAGGCUAAAGACCUUGCCAGAUCAGCUGAGAGGAGG
rnacentral:rRNA from 1 species